AGAGACAAAACUACUGAAGUCAACAUUAAGGAUUUUAGCUCUAGUUCAUAUAGCACAAUAUUUGGAGAGGAGCUGAGACGAAGAGUAAAACAGGUCCCGCUGGCAUUUUAUAAAGCAACACCUUCUCUUUUGUUCUCGGAUGAUUUUACUGGUUGGACCUUCAAAUAUGAAGAAAGCAAGGGAAGCAAAUCUGAAGAAAAUGGUUGCAGUCCAGCAAAACGACAACGGAUGUAGCACACAUGAACUCUUGAUGCUAUUAACAGUCAACGCAAAAAAAAAAUUAUAUAAUUUUGGGAAAGCCCAAGUAAUUCUCUGCAUCUAUCAACAAUUUUGUAUUAAUUCUUUUGUUUUGAAAUAAUUGGUACUUUAGAAGUCUUCUGCGUCAAUUUCACGUUACCUUUAAUGUUAGGUAUCAUGGUAUUACUGUACAUUACGUUUAGCUGGUGUAUUGAUUCGUGCUAUUAUAGC
rnacentral:misc_RNA from 1 species